GUGGCUGUAGCUCAAUGGUAGAGCUCCGGUUUGUGGUACCGGCUGUUGCGGGUUCGAGCCCCGUCAGCCACC
rnacentral:tRNA from 2 species